rnacentral:tRNA from 1 species
CGGUUCGGGCGGCGCGGCGGCCGCCGCCGCGGCAUUGGCCUGCGCGGGAGGGAUCACUUUCAGCGCCUUCGUGUUCAGCUGCCGGGCGAGCCGCCC